rnacentral:rRNA from 1 species
UACAGAGGUCCCAAGCGUUGUUCGGAUUCAUUGGGCGUAAAGGGUGCGUAGGUGGCGCGCUAAGUCGGGUGUGAAAUUUCGGAGCUUAACUCCGAAACUGCAUUCGAUACUGGUGUGCUUGAGGACUGGAGAGGAGACUGGAAUUCAUGGUGUAGCAGUGAAAUGCGUAGAGAUCAUGAGGAAUACCAGAGGCGAAGGCGGCUACCUGGACAAUUGCUGACGCUCAGGCACGAAAGCGUGGGGAGCAAAAGGG